rnacentral:rRNA from 1 species
AUUGAACGCUGGCGGCAGGCCUAACACAUGCAAGUCGAGCGGAUGACGGGAGCUUGCUCCUUGAUUCAGCGGCGGACGGGUGAGUAAUGCCUAGGAAUCUGCCUGGUAGUGGGGGAAAACGUUUCGAAAGGAAAGCUAAUACCGAGUACGUCCUACGGGAGCAAGCAGGGGACCUUCGGGCCUUGCGCUAUCAGAUGAGCCUAGGUCGGAUUAGCUUGUUGGUGAGGUAAUGGCUCACCAAGGCGACGAUCCGUAACUGGUCUGAGAGGAUGAUCAGUCACACUGGAACUGAGACACGGUCCAGACUCCUACGGGAGGCAGCAGUGGGGAAUAUUGGACAAUGGGCGAAAGCCUGAUCCAGCCAUGCCGCGUGUGUGAAGAAGGUCUUCGGAUUGUAAAGCACUUUAAGUUGGGAGGAAGGGUUGUAGAUUAAUACUCUGCAAUUUUGACGUUACCGACAGAAUAAGCACCGGCUAACUCUGUGCCAGCCGCCGCAGUAA